ACGAGAUUAUCCAGCUUGCUGGAUUUGAAAGUGGCGCACGGGUGCGUAACGCGUAUGCAACCUACCUUAAUCAGGGGGAUAGCCCGGAGAAAUCCGGAUUAACACCGCAUAAAAACACAGGAUAGCAUUAUCCAAUGUUCAAAUAUUUAUAGGAUUGAGAUGGGCAUGCGUGUCAUUAGCUAGUUGGCGGGGUAACGGCCCACCAAGGCGACGAUGACUAGGGGAUCUGAGAGGAUGACCCCCCACACUGGUACUGAGACACGGACCAGACUCCUACGGGAGGCAGCAGUAAGGAAUAUUGGUCAAUGGAGGCAACUCUGAACCAGCCAUGCCGCGUGCAGGAAGACUGCCCUAUGGGUUGUAAACUGCUUUUAUCCGGGAAUAAACCUCUGCUCGUGAGCAGAGCUGAAUGUACCGGAAGAAUAAGGAUCGGCUAACUCCGUGCC
rnacentral:rRNA from 1 species